rnacentral:rRNA from 1 species
AUAUUGCACAAUGGAGGGAACUCUGAUGCAGCAACGCCGCGUGAGUGAAUAAGGUUUUCGGAUCANAAAACUCUGUCAUUGGGGAANAUUAAAUGACGGUACCUAAUGAGGAAGCCCCGGUUAACUACGUACUAGCAGCCGCGGUAAUAUGUAGGGGGCGAGCGUUGUCCGGAAUUACUGGGCGUAAAGGGUACGUAGGCGGCUAUAUAAGUCAGGUGUGAAAUACCAGUGCUUAACACUGGAAUUGCAUUUGAAACUGUGUAGCUUGAGUGCAGGAGAGGAAAGUGGAAUUCCUAGUGUAGCGGUGAAAUGCGUAGAGAUUAGGAGGAACACCAGUGGCGAAGGCGACUUUCUGGACUGUAACUGACGCUGAGGUACGAAAGCGUGGGUAGCGAACA